AGCGAAUGAUUUUAGCCACUUGGUUUUAUGUCAUUUAAUUGUCUUUUUUCAGUUUCUAUGAGGAUGGACCACCUCCUUUCUCUCCUUCCCGCCUGCGCUGGUUGAAGGCCAUCAAUAAAGUCAGAGUGAAGCUGCAUGAGAAUAUCAAUGGAGACCAUAACAAACAUCCAUGGGCCAAACCUGGGUAUGAUCUCUUGCUCAUUUUCAGUUUGAACCGUGUUGUUGUUUAGCUGUUCUUUAUCAAA
rnacentral:lncRNA from 1 species